GCUCCCCAGCAGCUGGGAGCUGGGAGCUGGGCAGGGGCCCCUCCCCGGGUCUCUGAGGCCUCACGCACGGCGGUGACGGCGAGGAGGGGGCUCUGCUCCGGAGAGCAGCCCUCCCCGCCAGCCGCCAGCCGCCAGCCGCCCUGGGUGAGAGACAGCGAGCAUCAGGACAGGACACCCGUCUGGAAGCCCUCCCAGCCUGGCCCCAGCGUGGGGUGUCUGCAGCAGGCCCUCGGGUGACACGCGGCCUCCCCAGGCAGAGCCCCCUCUGCCCCGGCCGAGUGUGGAAGUGACCAGGAGCUAGUGGUGACCGCUGUUCCGUCAGGGCUGCCCCCCUCGGGCCCCUGGCCUGGCCACCUGCAGGCGGAACUGGAGGGGCUUCCGGGGGCUUCCCUCCCCCCUUCCCUGAGUCUGUCUCCUUGUCCUGGGCAGGGCCCAAGGGACACCCUGCUGCCCGGGCCUUGAGACGCUUUGAGAAGCUCAGGGUGACCCACGGCGACUUCUCAGGAGACAAGACUUGCUCUGUGACGUGGGGAGCGUCCCUCAGGAUCUGGGCGGCGUCCUCGUAGGUCUGGAACCCAGGGCCAGGGAGGCGGGUGGCACG